GGAGGCAUCAAAGCUGCAGUGCCCAUGGGUUGUGACCACAGGGGAGUUGUGUUGCAUCUGCAAAUCUCUGCUGUACAUCAAGAGCACAUCUGAACAGGUGAGUGCUGUGCACAUGAAAGGAUUGCUGUCUUUGUGCUGGGAAAAUCUGGUGGGGGGCCAUCAUGGCUCAGGGCUGUCAGGCUCCUCAUUUCUGCCU
rnacentral:lncRNA from 1 species